rnacentral:rRNA from 1 species
GAUGAACGCUGGCGGCGUGCCUAAUACAUGCAAGUCGAGCGAACGGACGAGAAGCUUGCUUCUCUGAUGUUAGCGGCGGACGGGUGAGUAACACGUGGAUAACCUACCUAUAAGACUGGGAUAACUUCGGGAAACCGGAGCUAAUACCGGAUAAUAUUUUGAACCGCAUGGUUCAAAAGUGAAAGACGGUCUUGCUGUCACUUAUAGAUGGAUCCGCGCUGCAUUAGCUAGUUGGUAAGGUAACGGCUUACCAAGGCAACGAUGCAUAGCCGACCUGAGAGGGUGAUCGGCUACACUGGAACCGAGACACGGUCCAGACUCCUACGGGAGGCAGCAGUAGGGAAUCUUCCGCAAUGGGCGAAAGCCUGACGGAGCAACGCCGCGUGAGUGAUGAAGGUCUUCGGAUCGUAAAACUCUGUUAUUAGGGAAGAACAUAUGUGUAAGUAACUGUGCACAUCUUGACGGUACCUAAUCAGAAAGCCACGGCUAACUACGUG